rnacentral:misc_RNA from 1 species
GACUGCAAGUUCAAAGCAAGUUCACCAAAGAUCAUAGAACAAGUAUCAAUCUCAGUAAACAGAACCACAAAUAGGCAUGGACUCUACAAGUUCGAAGUACCUGCUGUUGAUGGAAUUGCAUGUGCAGAAGCAGCCAUUGAAUCUUCCUGUGAAGCAAGCUUAAUGUGGAGUUCUUCCAAAUCAUGCAACGUUCCUGGAUACAAAUCCACAUCAGAUCAGAUAGCAAUCAAAGCCAAACAAGCCAAUCUCUGCAUCUACAGCCUUAAUGCAUUGAAUUUCAGACCAUCAAAAAUCGAUCUUACCUUAUGUGGAAAUUAAGAAGAAAUAAAUAUUUCUGCAGUUCUUUCCACCUUUCAUCACCUAUAUGUGGCUUUCUUCUAAAUGUCCAACUUUUCUCUUUGGACUCCCCAUUCUAUUCCUUCAAUCCCGUCUUUCCUUCAAAACAUGUGCGUAGCCCAUCACAGUGCUCAUGAUUUGCUAAUGCAGUAUCUUGGGAUCUAAAUGUUUCUUUUUUUUUUUUAAAUUAUAUAGUUUUAUUUUGUUGGUCUUUUUUUGUUCAG